GAGUAUGAUCCUGGCUCAGAUUGAACGCUGGCGGCAGGCCUAACACAUGCAAGUCGAGCGGAUGAGGGGUGCUUGCACCAUGAUUCAGCGGCGGACGGGUGAGUAAUGCCUAGGAAUCUGCCUGGUAGUGGGGGACACCGUUUCGAAAGGAACGCUAAUACCGCAUACGUCCUACGGGAGAAAGCAGGGGACCGUCAGGCCUUGCGAUAUCAGAUGAGCCUAGGUCGGAUUAGCUAGUUGGUGGGGUAAAGGCUCACCAAGGCGACGAUCCGUAACUGGUAUGAGAGGAUGAUCAGUCACACUGGAACUGAGACACGGUCCAGACUCCUUCGGGAGGCAGCAGUGGGGAAUAUUGGACAAUGGGCGAAAGCCUGAUCCAGCCAUGCCGCGUGUGUGAAGAAGGUCUUCGGAUUGUAAAGCACUUUAAGUUGGGAGGAAGGGCAUUAACCUAAUACGUUAGUGUUUUGACGUUACCGACAGAAUAAGCACCGGCUAACUUCGCCCCAACGGCCGCGGUAAUACGAAGCCGAAUUCUGCAGCCCUUAAUGCCCUGGCGCCCGCUCGCGCACGCAUCGCGAGAGCACACUUCUAGAGAGACUCACUUCGCACCUUUUAACGGUGG
rnacentral:rRNA from 1 species